GGGGGAUAUUGCACAAUGGAGGGAACUCUGAUGCAGCGACGCCGCGUGAGGGAAGAAGGUCUUCGGAUUGUAAACCUCUGUCUUUUGGGACGAAGCAAGUGACGGUACCAAAAGAGGAAGCCACGGCUAACUACGUGCCAGCAGCCGCGGUAAUACGUAGGUGGCGAGCGUUGUCCGGAAUUACUGGGCGUAAAGGGUGCGUAGGCGGAUAAUCAAGUCAGAUGUGAAAGUCCAUGGCUCAACUGGGGGAGUGCAUUUGAGACUGAAGAUCUAGAGUGCAGGAGAGGGAAGCGGAAUUCCUAGUGUAGCGGUGAAAUGCGUAGAUAUUAGGAAGAACACCAGUGGCGAAGGCGGCUUUCUGGACUGUAACUGACGCUGAAGCACGAAAGCGUGGGGAGCAAAC
rnacentral:rRNA from 1 species